GUGCAAACUUGAUCACUAACUCUGCACGAUGUUGCAGAAGUAAGGGGAACCAGGUUUGCUAAAGUAAUUGUGGUGAUAGACAUGUAUUGGCCUCAGAAGCUACUGAGGUGGUCCAUUCUCCUAGCACAGUG